rnacentral:rRNA from 1 species
AUACGUAGGGGGCGAGCGUUGUCCGGAAUGACUGGGCGUAAAGGGCGUGUAGGCGGCCGAUUAAGUCUGGAGUGAAAGUCCUGCUUUCAAGGUGGGAAUUGCUUUGGAGACUGGUUGGCUUGAGUGCGGAAGAGGUAAGUGGAAUUCCCAGUGUAGCGGUGAAAUGCGUAGAGAUUGGGAGGAACACCAGUGGCGAAGGCGACUUACUGGGCCGUAACGGACGCUGAGGCGCGAAAGCGGUGGGAGCGAACAGGAUUAGAUACCCUGGUAGUCCACGCGGUAAACGAUGAAUGCUAGGUGUAGGGGGUAUCGACCCCUCCUGUGCCGGAGUGAACACAAUAAGCAUUCCGCCUGGGGAGUACGGCCGCAAGGUUGAAACUCAAAUGAAUUGGCGGGG